rnacentral:pre_miRNA from 11 species
AGGGUGGAAUUGAGCCAAGGAUGGCUUGCCGUCCUUUGUCACUAUUUGAGGCAUUAACUGGUCACGCACGGAGGGUUAUCCUUGACUCCUUUAGCUCCUCU